AGGGCAAGUCAACUUCUUGCCCAGAGAGGAGAAGCUUUGGGCUGAGCUCAGGGUGGCCUUGCAGGGCCUGAAGGAGCUGCAGGAAACAUGGAGAGAGACAAUUCCCAAGGGAUGGAGGGACAGGACACAGGGAAUGGAGGGACAGCACACAGGGAAUGGCUGCAGAGUAGGGUUUGAUGGGAUGGGGGGGGGGGGGGGGGGGGGGGGGGGGGGGGGGGUGGGAGGGGGGGGGGGGGGGGGGGGGGGGGGGGGGGGGGGGGGGGGGGGGGGGGGGGGGGGGGGGGGGGGGGGGGGGGGGGGGGGGGGGGGGGGGGGGGGGGGGGGGGUCCAGGCUGGACACUGGGGCUGGAGCAGCCUGGGACAGGGGGAGGUGUCUCUGCCCAAGCCAGGAUGAGCUUUAAUCUCCCUCCCAAGCCAGGGAUUCCCUGGUUUUGUG
rnacentral:lncRNA from 1 species